UGCAUAUCCAAAAGCGGAGGAAAAGAAACCAACAGGGAUUGCCUUAGUAGCGGCGAGUGAAGCGGCAAAAGCUCAAAUUUGAAAUCUGGCACUUUCAGUGUCCGAGUUGUAAUUUGAAGAAGGUAUCUUUGGGUCUGGCUCUUGUCUAUGUUUCUUGGAACAGAACGUCACAGAGGGUGAGAAUCCCGUGCGAUGAGAUGUCCCAGACCUAUGUAAAGUUCCUUCGAAGAGUCGAGUUGUUUGGGAAUGCAGCUCUAAGUGGGUGGUAAAUUCCAUCUAAAGCUAAAUAUUGGCGAGAGACCGAUAGCGAACAAGUACAGUGAUGGAAAGAUGAAAAGAACUUUGAAAAGAGAGUGAAAAAGUACGUGAAAUUGUUGAAAGGGAAGGGCUUGAGAUCAGACUUGGUAUUUUGUAUGUUACUCUCUCGGGGGUGGCCUCUACAGUUUACCGGGCCAGCAUCAGUUUGAGCGGUAGGAUAAGUGCAAAGAAAUGUGGCACUGCUUCGGUAGUGUGUUAUAGUCUUUGUCGAUACUGCCAGCUUAGACUGAGGACUGCGGCUUCGGCCUAGGAUGUUGGCAUAAUGAUCUUAAGUCGCCCGUCUUGAACACCGGA
rnacentral:rRNA from 1 species